CUAGUCUAAGGUCAUAGGAGGUUAUACAGGCAAAUCCGUAUAACAAUACUCCGAGAACUGAAAGGCUUUUUGAAGUCUUCGGAUGGAUAGAAGAACCCCUGAUGCCGUCGAGCCAAGAAAAGUUUCUAAGUUUAGCUAAUGUUGCCCGUACCGUAAACCGACACAGGUGGGUGGGAUGAGUAUUCUAAGGCGCGUGGAAGAACUCUCUUUAAGGAACUCUGCAAAAUAGCACCGUAUCUUCGGUAUAAGGUGUGGUUCGCUUCGUACUAGGAUUUACUCCGAAAGCGAAGAAACUUACAACAAAGAGUCCCUCCCGACUGUUUACCAAAAACACAGCACUCUGCUAACUCGUAAGAGGAUGUAUAGGGUGUGACGCCUGCCCGGUGCUCGAAGGUUAAUUGAUGGGGUUAGCAUUAGCGAAGCUCUUGAUCGAAGCCCGAGUAAACGGCGGCCGUAACUAUAACGGUCCUAAGGUAGCGAAAUUCCUUGUCGGUUAAAUACCGACCUGCAUGAAUGGCGUAACGAGAUGGGAGCUGUCUCAAAGAGGGAUCCAGUGAAAUUGUAGUGGAGGUGAAAAUUCCUCCUACCCGCGGCAAGACGGAAAGACCCCGUGGACCUUUACUACAGCUUGACACUGCUACUUGGAUAAGAAUGUGCAGGAUAGGUGGGAGGCUUUGAGUAUAUGACGCCAGUUGUAUAUGAGCCAUUGUUGAGAUACCACUCUUUCUUAUUUGGGUAGCUAACCAGCUUGAGUUAUCCUCAAGUGGGACAAUGUCUGGUGGGUAGUUUGACUGGGGCGGUCGCCUCCCAAAUAAUAACGGAGGCUUACAAAGGUUGGCUCAGAACGGUUGGAAAUCGUUCGUAGAGUAUAAAGGUAUAAGCCAGCUUAACUGCAAGACAUACAAGUCAAGCAGAGACGAAAGUCGGUCUUAGUGAUCCGGUGGUUCUGUGUGGAAGGGCCAUCGCUCAAAGGAUAAAAGGUACCCCGGGGAUAACAGGCUGAUCUCCCCCAAGAGCUCACAUCGACGGGGAGGUUUGGCACCUCGAUGUCGGCUCAUCGCAUCCUGGGGCUGGAGCAGGUCCCAAGGGUAUGGCUGUUCGCCAUUUAAAGCGGUACGCGAGCUGGGUUCAGAACGUCGUGAGACAGUUCGGUCCCUAUCUGCCGUGGGCGUAAGAAGAUUGAAGAGAUUUGACCCUAGUACGAGAGGACCGGGUUGAACAAACCACUGGUGUAGCUGUUGUUCUGCCAAGAGCAUCGCAGCGUAGCUAAGUUUGGAAAGGAUAAACGCUGAAAGCAUCUAAGCGUGAAGCCAACUCUAAGAUGAAUCUUCUCUAAGCUCUCUAGAAGACUACUAGUUUGAUAGGCUGGGUGUGUAAUGGAUGAAAGUCCUUUAGCUGACCAGUACUAAUAGAGCGUUUGGCUUAUCUUUAAUAAAGCAU
rnacentral:rRNA from 1 species